rnacentral:rRNA from 1 species
AGAGUUUGAUCAUGGCUCAGAACGUACGCUGGCGGCACGCCUAACACAUGCAAGUCGAACGCAGUAGCAAUACUGAGUGGCAAACGGGUGAGUAUAAUGUGGGAAUCUGCCUUUUGGUCUGGAAUAACACGGGGAAACUUGUGCUAAUACCGGAUAAGCCCUUACGGGGAAAGUUUUAACGCCGAAAGAUGAGCCUGCACUUGAUUAGCUAGUUGGUAAGGUAAAAGCUUACCAAGGCAACGAUCAAUAGCUGUUCUUAGAGGAAGACCAGCCACAUUGGGACUGAGACACGGCCCAGACUCCUACGGGAGGCAGCAGUGGGGAAUCUUGCACAAUGGGGGAAACCCUGAUGCAGCGAUGCCGCGUGAGUGAAGAAGGCCCUUGGGUUGUAAAACUCUUUCGUCGGGGAAGAAAAUGACUGUACCCGAAUAAGAAGGUCCGGCUAACUUCGUGCCAGCAGCCGCGGUAAUACGAAGGGACCUAGCGUAGUUCGGAAUUACUGGGCUUAAAGAGCUCGUAGGUGGUUAAAAAAGUUGAUGGUGAAAUCCCAAGGCUCAACCUUGGAACUGCCAUCAAAACUUUUUAGCUAGAGUGUGAUAGAGGUAAGUGGAAUUUCUAGUGUAGAGGUGAAAUUCGUAGAUAUUAGAAAGAACACCAAAUGCGAAGGCAACUUACUGGGUCACUACUGACACUGAGGAGCGAAAGCAUGGGUAGCGAAGAGGAUUAGAUACCCUCGUAGUCCAUGCCGUAAACGAUGUGUGCUAGACGUUGGAAAUUUAUUUUUCAGUGUCGCAGCGAAAGCAUUAAGCACACCGCCUGGGGAGUACGACCGCAAGGUUAAAACUCAAAUGAAUUGACGGGGACCCGCACAAGCA